rnacentral:lncRNA from 1 species
GGAAUCGAAGAACCGAUCUAAAAUUCGAGUCUACGAACGGAGCGUGGUUCUCUCUGGUAACGAUAUCUCUCUUCUUCUUGGGCUUCGGGAGAUUCUUGGAUGUAGAGUCUACGGACUACCAAGUGUUACGGAUUAUAAAUCAAUGACGAGCUUUCACGGACGAUCUGCAGUUACUUUAUCUUACUUUAUCCUCGACGCGGGAUUUCAUUAUUUAGUAGCUGCAAUGCGGCAGUAUUUCUCGCGGCGGAGGAUCGCGCGCUAGGAAGGAGGCUCAGUGUCGAGGAUUCGCGCAUCCAGGUUUUCGCUGGCGCGUUGUCCGCGCGUGUGUCUUUGUGUGCUCGUACGUACUGCUCGGCAAUCCGUGUGCACGCCGGAACGAGUCGAGGAAAGGUGGAGGAGCGCGACGCAGAAGAGGAGCGAUGCCGGGGACAACAAUCAUAACAAUCUAGUUAAACGUUAUAAGGAUAUCUCGCGCUAAGAGGCGUGCCAAGCGUUGCAUAAAAUCAAAUUGUACGCCGAGCCGAGAAGUUAUUGUCGUCCUUCAUUCCCCCUUCCCGCCCUCUAAGCCCCUCCGCCCCUAGCCAAAUCUGCGUCGCCGAAAAUUUACCCGAGCAUCCUCCAUCCCCCAUCUCUCAAGUUUCCCCGUGCACCCCCUCGCUGCACCGUUCUUUCGGCACGGCGGCUGUGCCGCUCGUCUCCCGCCCGUGAAUCUCUCCGACAAACGCAAUUUUUUGCGUCCUCGUAGUUGUCAAGGAUCUUGAAUAAAUUUCGCGGAAACGUGUCCAUGCGCGACACGGUCGUUCAUUCGUUGUAUCGUCCAUGAUAAAAGAUCCAAGUAUUACAGCUAUGGGAGAUACACGAUACUGCCGCACAAUCGUUGAUAAUAAAACGCUCGCAAAUUACUACGAAAUUAUAACAAUUUACAGCUGUUGAUACGGAAAGACGAGUUGCGGCAAUUGCUUUCGAGAAACAAAUACAAUUUGUCUUCGCGAGCUACUCCAUGUGCCAAUAAUCGCAACAAUGCCGAAAACUGCUCCGUGCCGUACGUGCAACGAAACUGCGAGUAAUUAUUAAGCUGGCAGACUUCGCGGAACGUGGAUGGAAUUAGUCGCGCGCGGGAGAAUUCGUAAUAGGGCUUUCGUUGCCGUCAACAAUAUCGGAUAAUUACGUCUCUGUCGGGCGAUCCUCGACAUAGAGUAAUAGAGAACCGACGAAAUCGGCUUGAGGGGGUUAAAUUGAAAUUGAAAUCACUCGAAAUUACUUGCAGCCCCGUCGACGAUAUUCCGUCCCGGAAAUCGAAUAUUGCACUCUUAAUGCGCCGAUAACUCCGCGCAUUACAUGCCCGUAAAAAUGUUUGUAUGAAAUGACCGCGACCGUCCCAUAUUUAGAGUCGUACAUGCUUAUAUGGGAAUCCGUCUUCCCUCUCAUGUUCAAGCAUUCCAAACUUUCCUCCUGUAAUUUCAAAAAUCUUAUUUUAUAUUGCACUCAUUAUAUGUUAAUAGAGAGAGAGAGCUAAAAAUUUUUUGAAGUAACGAGAAUUUUUAUUUUCAAAAUUAAAAAAUGCUUCGCUUUUCCUUUUUACUCCUUUCAAACCGGUCGUCGCAAUUUCCGAUUUAACUACAGAGCUUCUAAGAGGCGUAAAUACAAAAUUACCGAAAUGGACGUUUAUUUUUUUGCGGGCAUAGACAGGGGAUUUCUCGCGCGUCGGAAUUGCCGGAAUUCCCACCAGCACGGCAGCGAUAACGGCAAAAGGAAAAAGCGCAGGAUUCGCCCUAAAAAAUACUCAAGAGCGACCGAGGAAAAAGGGCGUUAACGACGUCUUCGUUAAGGGAUGCCCGCGGGGCAGAGUUAAAACGGCGAGGAAUCAAAAGAUCGAUUAGAAUCGGCCGUCGCCGCGGGAUUUCUUGUGCAAUUCGAAGGGAGAGGUCUUGCCCUCGCGUCAGGGAACGCGAGGUCAGACCAGGAGGGUUGAAUGCAUAAGAAACCCGAAGGGAAAGAAAGAAAAGGUGGCGCGAGAGCUACCCUCUUUGUUGCUCGACUUUUCGCUUCGUCGUUUUUCAGGGGACGACGAUGUCCAUCUCCUUUCUACGGAAAUUCAAUAUUUUGGCUAUCGAAUUUCCUAUGUAAAGGGAAAGCUACAGUUUUUCUCUUUCUCUGUAUUUAAGUCUCCUUUAUUGUCCUGUUCGUAUCGAAAUAAAGUGAAUAAGUGACUUUAGAAUUUUGCAACAUUGGACCGUAAAGUGAAAAGCUAGUUUAGUAAAAGAAGAAGAACGCGUAAUUCACUUUUGUUGUGACUGAAGAGCGCUUUUAAAGAAUGAUGAUUCAUCUUGAUCGUAAAAAUGUUCGAGUAUUUAACACAGAACGAUCAAAAAGCUUUCUCGUUAUCUUCGAAAGAUUGUUUUAUUAUUUAAUAUCAUUUCCUUCGUCGCAAAAUAUCAUAAAAUCUACAUCA